rnacentral:rRNA from 1 species
UGGCUGAAAACGUUUCGGAUGACUUGUGGAUAGGGGUGAAAGGCCAAUCAAACCCGGUGAUAGCUGGUUCUCCCCGAAAUAUAUUGAGGUAUAGCCUCGGGAAUUGAUUAGCGGAGGUAAAGCACUGACAGAGCUAGGGGUCCUACCAGAUUACCAAACUCUAUCAAACUCAGAAUGCCGCUUAAUCGUAUCCCGGGAGUCAGACGGCGGGUGCGAAGGUUCGUCGUCAAAAGGGAAACAGCCCAGACCAACAGCUAAGGUCUCCAAAUCCAUGCUCAGUGGUGAAGGUAGUGGAACCGUUUAGACAGCCAGGACGUUGGCUUAGAAGCAGCCAUCGUUUAAAGAAAGCGUAAUAGCUCACUGGUCUAAUGGCUCUGCGCCGAAAAUGUAACGGGGCUAAGCAUGGUACCGAAGCUUUGGCAAUCUCCUUUGGAGAUUGGGUAGGGGAGCGUUCGCUGCGGGCUGAAGGUGUAUCGGAAGGUAUGCUGGACUGCAGUGAAGUGAUUAUGCUGACAUGAGUAACGAUAAAAUAUGUGAAAAACAUAUUCGCCGAAAACCCGAGGUUUCCUGGGUAAAGGUAAUCUUCCCAGGGUUAGUCGGAUCCUAAGGUGAGGGUGAAAGCCGUAACCGAUGGAAAACAGGUUAAUAUUCCUGUACUUGUUGUGUAGCGCGAUGGAGGGACGCAGGAAGAUAGGCGGGCCGGGUGUUGGAUAUCCCGGUGCAAGCGUGUAGGAAUAUCCGGUAGGCAAAUCCGCCGGACGAAUCUGAGACGCGAGUCCGUGGGCGCAAGCCCUGAAGCCGUUGAGUCUAUGCUGCCUAGAAAAGCUCCUAAGUUUAUCCACAGCAAUCCGUACCGCAAACCAACUCAGGUGGGUGGGAUGAACAAUCCAAGGCGCUCGAGAGAACUCUGGCCAAGGAACUCGGCAAAAUAACCCCGUAACUUCGGAAGAAGGGGUGCUCUCUAGGGUGACAUGUUUAACAUAUGAAGCCCCGGGGAGCCGCAGUGAAUUGGUGGUGGCGACUGUUUACUAAAAACAUAGGUCUGUGCGAAGUCCUAAAGACGACGUAUACGGACUGACGCCUGCCCGGUGCUGGAAGGUUAAAAGGAGGGGUCAGCGCAAGCAAAGCUCCGAAUUGAAGCCCCAGUAAACGGCGGCCGUAACUAUAACGGUCCUAAGGUAGCGAAAUUCCUUGUCGGGUAAGUUCCGACCUGCACGAAUGGCGUAACGAUCUCCACACUGUCUCGGCCAGAGACUCGGUGAAAUUGAAGUCGCGGUGAAAAUGCCGUGUACCCGCAGAAAGACGGAAAGACCCUGUGCACCUUUACUAUAGCUUGACAUUGGAUUUUGGGCCUGCAUGUGUAGGAUAGGUGGGAGGCUGUGAACCCUGUACGCCAGUAUGGGGGGAGCCAUCCUUGAAAUACCACCCUUGCAUGUUUAAGAUCCUAACUUCUUCCGGUUAUCCCGGAGAAAGACAGUGUCUGGCGGGUAGUUUGACUGGGGCGGUCGCCUCCUAAAGAGUAACGGAGGCAUGCAAAGGUUCCCUCAGGCUGAUUGGAAACCAGGCGUUGAGUGCAAACGCAUAAGGGAGCUUGACUGUAAGAGAGACAUCUCGAACAGGAACGAAAGUUGGCGUUAGUGAUCCGGUGGUCCCGAAUGGAAGGGCCAUCGCUCAUUGGAUAAAAGGUACGCCGGGGAUAACAGGCUGAUCGCAUCCAAGAGUUCACAUCGACGAUGC